rnacentral:rRNA from 1 species
CCUACGGGUGGCAGCAGUAGGGAAUUUUCCACAAUGGGCGAAAGCCUGAUGGAGCAACGCCGCGUGCAGGAUGAAGGCUUUCGGGUCGUAAACUGCUUUUAUAGGUGAAGCGGUAACCUAUGAAUAAGGGUCGGCUAACUACGUGCCAGCAGCCGCGGUCAUACGUAGGACCCAAGCGUUAUCCGGAAUUACUGGGCGUAAAGAGUGCGUAGGUGGCAUAGUAAGUAAGAAGUGAAAGCGUCCGGCUCAACCGGAUAUACAUUUUUUAAACUGCUAAGCUAGAGAAUGAGAGAGGUCACUGGAAUUCCAAGUGUAGGAGUGAAAUCCGUAGAUAUUUGGAGGAACACCGAUGGCGUAGGCAGGUGACUGGCUCAUUCUGACACUAAGGCACGAAAGCGUGGGUAGCAAACAGGAUUAGAUACCCUAGUAGUC